CUGGUUCUGCUUUUCCUUUGUAGAUUCACAUGGUGCAGAUCUGAGUAAGUCUCCCUCCCUACACUGAAGGAGAGUGGGGGUCUUCCCACAGGAUCAGCCACGGGAUGACCAUCUGAUCCCUCUCAUCACGUGUUUCCUAUUUGUUUCUCUAGCAGAAAAACAAGCUGCAGAACCAGGGGAACAAACUGAAGAAGAGGAGACACGGAAACCACUGCUGAGGAGUCAGUAUGAACAGACACAAAAACCAUUUGAAGAAUCAGACUGAGAGAUGAACUGCAUGGCGCAAUAACCACAGGAGUUAAGCAUCAGAGACUACAGAUUGCACAGGAUACCAAAACCACAAUAACUCCAAGCAAGCAAGGAAAUCCACAAUGAAACAAGUGGAGCCAGCAGUGUUUUAUUGAGAACACUGUAGUUCUGUGAGCCAAAGCUGUCUGAACUGAGGAUGUGUGACCUCUAACUCAAAUCCAAUUGGAAGAAAG
rnacentral:lncRNA from 1 species